rnacentral:rRNA from 3 species
AUGGUUAAGUUAGAAAGGGCGCACGGUGAAUGCCUUGGCACUAGGAGCCGAUGAAGGACGGGACUAACACCGAUAUGCUUCGGGGAGCUGUAAGUGAGCUUUGAUCCGGAGAUUUCCGAAUGGGGAAACCCACUGUUCGUAAUGGAACAGUAUCUUUAUCUGAAUACAUAGGAUAUUGAAGGCAGACCCGGGGAACUGAAACAUCUAAGUACCCGGAGGAAGAGAAAGCAAAUGCGAUUUCCUGAGUAGCGGCGAGCGAAACGGAAUUAGCCCAAACCAAGAGGCUUGCCUCUUGGGGUUGUAGGACACUCUAUACGGAGUUACAAAGGAACGAAGUAAAUGAAGCGACCUGGAAAGGUCCGUCGAAGAAGGUAACAACCCUGUAGUUGAAACUUCGUUCCCUCUUGAGUGGAUCCUGAGUACGGCGGAACACGUGAAAUUCCGUCGGAAGCUGGGAGGACCAUCUCCCAAGGCUAAAUACUACCUAGUGACCGAUAGUGAACCAGUACCGUGAGGGAAAGGUGAAAAGCACCCCGGAAGGGGAGUGAAAGAGAUCCUGAAACCGUGUGCCUACAAGUAGUCAGAGCCCGUUAACGGGUGAUGGCGUGCCUUUUGUAGAAUGAACCGGCGAGUUACGAUCCCAUGCAAGGUUAAGCUGAUAAGGCGGAGCCGUAGCGAAAGCGAGUCUGAAUAGGGCGUUUAGUAUGUGGUUGUAGACCCGAAACCAGGUGAUCUACCCAUGUCCAGGGUGAAGUUCAGGUAACACUGAAUGGAGGCCCGAACCCACGCACGUUGAAAAGUGCGGGGAUGAGGUGUGGGUAGCGGAGAAAUUCCAAUCGAACCUGGAGAUAGCUGGUUCUCUCCGAAAUAGCUUUAGGGCUAGCCUCAUGUUGUGAGAGUCUUGGAGGUAGAGCACUGAUUGGACUAGGGGCCCCCAACGGGUUACCGAAUUCAGUCAAACUCCGAAUGCCAAAGACUUAUCCAUGGGAGUCAGACUGCGAGUGAUAAGAUCCGUAGUCAAAAGGGAAACAGCCCAGACCACCAGCUAAGGUCCCCAAGUAUACGUUAAGUGGAAAAGGAUGUGGAGUUGCUUAGACAACCAGGAUGUUGGCUUAGAAGCAGCCACCAUUUAAAGAGUGCGUAAUAGCUCACUGGUCGAGUGACUCUGCGCCGAAAAUGUACCGGGGCUAAACGUAUCACCGAAGCUGUGGAUUGACAUCUUAGAUGUCAGUGGUAGGAGAGCGUUCUAAGUGCUGUGAAGUCAGACCGUAAGGACUGGUGGAGCGCUUAGAAGUGAGAAUGCCGGUAUGAGUAGCGAAAGACAAGUGAGAAUCUUGUCCACCGAAUGCCUAAGGUUUCCUGAGGAAGGCUCGUCCGCUCAGGGUUAGUCGGGACCUAAGCCGAGGCUGAAAAGCGUAGGCGAUGGCCAACAGGUUGAUAUUCCUGUACCACCUCCCCGCCGUUUGAGUAAUGGGGGGACGCAGUAGGAUAGGGUAAGCGCGCUGCUGGAUAUGCGCGUUCAAGCAGUUAGGCUGAUGAGUAGGCAAAUCCGCUCAUCAUAAAGGCUGAGCUGUGAUGACGAGGGAAUUAUAGUACCGAAGUUCCUGAUUCCACACUGCCAAGAAAAGCCUCUAGCGAGGCGGGAGGUGCCCGUACCGCAAACCGACACAGGUAGGCGAGGAGAGAAUCCUAAGGUGAUCGAGAGAACUCUCGUUAAGGAACUCGGCAAAAUGACCCCGUAACUUCGGGAGAAGGGGUGCUCUGGUAGGGUGUAUAGCCCGAGAGAGCCGCAGUGAAUAGGCCCAGGCGACUGUUUAGCAAAAACACAGGUCUCUGCGAAGCCGCAAGGCGAAGUAUAGGGGCUGACGCCUGCCCGGUGCUGGAAGGUUAAGAGGAGGGGUUAUCCUUUGGGAGAAGCUCUGAAUCGAAGCCCCAGUAAACGGCGGCCGUAACUAUAACGGUCCUAAGGUAGCGAAAUUCCUUGUCGGGUAAGUUCCGACCCGCACGAAAGGCGUAACGAUCUGGGCACUGUCUCAACGAGAGACUCGGUGAAAUUAUAGUACCUGUGAAGAUGCAGGUUACCCGCGACAGGACGGAAAGACCCCGUGGAGCUUUACUGUAGCCUGAUAUUGAAUUUUGGUACAGCUUGUACAGGAUAGGUAGGAGCCUGAGAAGCCGGAGCGCUAGCUUCGGUGGAGGCGUCGGUGGGAUACUACCCUGGCUGUAUUGAAAUUCUAACCCGCGGCCCUGAUCGGGCCGGGAGACAGUGUCAGGUGGGCAGUUUGACUGGGGCGGUCGCCUCCUAAAAUGUAACGGAGGCGCCCAAAGGUUCCCUCAGAAUGGUUGGAAAUCAUUCGUAGAGUGUAAAGGCACAAGGGAGCUUGACUGCGAGACCUACAAGUCGAGCAGGGACGAAAGUCGGGCUUAGUGAUCCGGUGGUUCCGCAUGGAAGGGCCAUCGCUCAACGGAUAAAAGCUACCCCGGGGAUAACAGGCUUAUCUCCCCCAAGAGUCCACAUCGACGGGGAGGUUUGGCACCUCGAUGUCGGCUCAUCGCAUCCUGGGGCUGUAGUCGGUCCCAAGGGUUGGGCUGUUCGCCCAUUAAAGCGGUACGCGAGCUGGGUUCAGAACGUCGUGAGACAGUUCGGUCCCUAUCCGUCGUGGGCGUAGGAAAUUUGAGAGGAGCUGUCCUUAGUACGAGAGGACCGGGAUGGACACACCGCUGGUGUACCAGUUGUCUUGCCAAAGGCAUCGCUGGGUAGCUAUGUGUGGACGGGAUAAGUGCUGAAAGCAUCUAAGCAUGAAGCCCCCCUCAAGAUGAGAUUUCCCAUAGCGCAAGCUAGUAAGAUCCCUGAAAGAUGAUCAGGUUGAUAGGUCAGAGGUGGAAGCGUGGCGACAUGUGUAGCUGACUGAUACUAAUCGAUCGAGGACUUAACCAAA